GAAUGUCUCUCAGGGGUUUCUGGACCGAUGAUCCCCUCCCUCACUUCUAGCCCUGAUGAUGCUGAAGCGUUCACUGUUGGCGAUUUGCAGGAGAGGUAGCCAUCCUUGGGCUGGACCAUGCAAUUGGUAAGAAAGUUCUUCAGGUCCAGAUGAAACUGGCUUCCUUUACUCGGGAGCAGGAGUUAUUCCUUUUGGCAUUUGACAUGUUUUCUCUCCCUUUCUCAUGAUUUACUCAGAGAAUUUGAAGACCCCCCAACCAUCUGUAACUUCUGAGUUUUCUGUUCUCCAGCCUAAGCCUGUCAGAUACUCUAGCUCUCCCCCUGUUUAUAUCUUGCAGGUUCCUGGCACCCUUUUCCGGGUUGACUUAGUUUGUGGAGGUACUUCAUGAAACCCAGGGCUGGGAAUGACACGAUAGUUGUGGUUGAAUGUGUCGCCCGAAGUCCACAUGCUGGAAAGAAUCUUCAAGGCAACAUGUUGACAAGUGUUAAGAGGUCAAGGACACGCUGCUUUCACAUGGGUCAGUGCAUUUAUUGUGGAAAUGGGUUAGUUACUGAGGGAGUGGGUUCCUGAUAGAAAGAUGAGUUCUACUUCCCUUUCUACCCCUGUCCUUUCUUACCAUCUCACCUCUAGAAGGACUUUACAAGAUGAUGGUACCUAGAUAUUGGACUUCCUAGCCUUCAGAACUAUGAGAAACAAAUUUAUUUUCUUCAUAAAUUAUCUAGCCUAUAGUAUUCUGUUAUAGCAAUGAAAAAAUAGACUUAAGAUGAUAAACCUGUGGAUGGAGUCACUGAAGCUCCUACACCAAAAUGUGGAGGACAAUGACAUGUGUCUAUUUGUUGAUGCCUUUUUCCUGGCUGUUCCAGCACCCUGCUGUAUUUUCAUGUGUUGUCUACAAGGAUCUCCCCAGAUAUUUCAUCAGAUGUUUUGCUGGAAUGAAGGCACACUGACUCUGUGGUGUUUCCAUGGUCUCUUUGCUCAUUAAAGGUGAAUUUGCUGUGACUUUGUGGAUUUUAGUGGUCCCUUUCCAAACCCCAAUUCUUCCUAGUGAGCCUCACUUUAGUUUUUUUCUUUUUAUUUUUUAAAGAGAGAGAGAGAGAGAGAGAGAGAGAGAGAGAGAGAGAGAGAGAGAGAGAAUUUUAAUAUUUUUAUUUUUUAGUUUUCGGCGGACACAACAUCUUUUUUUUUUUGUAUGUGGUGCUGAGGAUCGAACUCGGGCCACACACAUGCCAGGCGAGCGUGCUACCGCUUGAGCUACAUCCCUAG
rnacentral:lncRNA from 1 species